GACGAACGCUGGCGGCGUGCUUAACACAUGCAAGUCGAACGAAGUGGCGAACGGGUGAGUAACGCGUCAUCAACCUUCCCUUCAGAGGGGGACAACAGUUGGAAACGACUGCUAAUACCGCAUACUGAAGGAGGGGCUUGCGUCUGAUUAGCUAGUUGGGGGGGUAACGGCCCACCAAGGUGAUGAUCAGUAGCCGGGCUGAGAGGAUGAACGGGCACAAUGGGAAUGAGAAAAGGCCCAGACUCCUACGGGAGGCAGCAAUGGGGAAACUUCCGCAAUGGACGAAAGUCUGACGGAGCAACGCCGCGGGAGUGAUGACGGCCGUCUGGUUGUAAAGCUCUGUUAAUCGGGACGCGGUACCGGAAGAGAAAGCCACGGCUAACUACGUGCCAGCCGCCGCGGUAAUAC
rnacentral:rRNA from 1 species